GGUGGUUCUCAGGUGAUGCAUCCCAGAAUCGGGCUCCCUCCUCUCUGGUUCCAGGGUGUGUCACCUGAGAACUGCU
rfam:Myotis brandtii contig261839, whole genome shotgun sequence.